UUAACUUCAAUAUGUAAAGCGUGGUAUAAUACUAUAUUUUAUCGUUUAUCUUGUCGUUAUGAAAAUAGAGUGAAAUGACUACGAAAAAUUUGUUUCAUUUAAGAAAAACUUUAAUAUGUAAAGCAUGGUAUAAUACUACGUUUUGUGGGAAAUCUUGACUAUAAAUUCAUUAAGAAGUUUAUGAAAGUAUGACUUCCAUCUUUGCCUAAUCUGGGCCUCUUACAUCAAUACUCGACUGUCUUCGUCUUUGAUGCACCCCAUUUGAUCCAGGUCGCGAGCCUUCUUCCCUCUCUCUUUGGCCAACCUAAUUAACUUCUUGUCUGCACCGUUGCCCCCAAGUUCCUCAUAUAACCGACCAACAGUAGCAGGCUUAGCCUCUAUGACUGCUAAUUUUGCCUCCUUCCUAGCCUUCUUAUAUCUUUCUCUGUUCUCUCUCAUCUGAUCCUCAUCGGUGCUCUCUAUUAACUUAAUGUAAGCCACUUUCUUGGCUUCCACUUUAUCUUGGACCACUUCAUUUUACCACCAGUCGUCUCGGUGCUUGCCAGAGUAACCUUUCCAAACUACCAACACCUCUCUCGCUGCCUCCCUUAUACAGUCCGAUAUCGCUGCCCCCAUAGCGCUGGCGUCCCCACCACUCUUCCAGGAACCAUAGUUGUCAGCCGCACCUCCAUGUCCCGCACAUUAUCCUUAGACAAAGCUCUCCACCUGAUACUCUGACUUACCCUGUAGAAACUUUUUGUCCUCUUCAUCAAGAAACCGACGUCAACAAGGAAAACCAUAAUGAAUGGCCAUUGAUAUGCAAACAGACUGUGGUUCGAAUCGAUACUCUUUAGCCUUCUUUAUAUAGGGAUGCUUAGUAGUGUAGUAACUCGAUCCAUG
rnacentral:lncRNA from 1 species